CUUUCUCUCUCUAUCUUUCGACCAGCACGGCACUCUGCGUCUCGCUCUACGGUCACUCGACACAGCUUGCCCGGGAACGGAGAACGGAGAAACUAUUCGUUUGCUUCUGCUUGUGCUUCUACCGCUGCUGCACACACCGAGCUUCUAUCCCCACUUACCGACCCGAGAAAACUCGUCCUCUCGCUCUCGCUCUCGCGUCCCUCUACCAAAGACCUAACCCCACUUUUCGUCGUCGACAGCGGCAACGGCAACGACGGCGACAGCGACAGCGACAGCGGCAACGGCAACGGCAACGGCAACGGAUCGCUGGCAACUCGGCUCGCUGCUCCUCGUCGAUGCUCGGCAACCGUCGGUUCAGGUUCGUUCCUUCGGUUCGGUACGCAUGCGCGUCGAGUGCCCGACCGAGAGAUCCUCGAUCCUCUCGCAAACAAUCUUGCUAUCUUAUGUUACACGAUUUUCGCUUUUCCCGAUCCUUUGGUCCGACCGUCCAUCGGAUUUUGGAACAUUUCGACGAUUUAACCUACCCGUCCGACGAACCGUUCGAACGAUCGCGCAUCCGUGACAACGAUGGGACAACGACUUUUCUCUGUCCGAAUUCCAGAUUUAUUUCUCAACGUGGGAGGAGUCCGGUCUUCGUCGAACGUCGGCAGUCGUCGGCUGUUAGGAUCAGGAAUCCGCAAUGUGGAAUCUGUUGCCUGCCUGCCUGCCUGCCUGC